UACGGGGGGGGCAAGCGUUGUUCGGAAUUAUUGGGCGUAAAGGGCUCGUAGGCGGUUUGUCGCGUCGGGAGUGAAAACUCAGGGCUUAACCCUGAGCCUGCUUCCGAUACGGGCAGACUAGAGGUAUGCAGGGGAGAACGGAAUUCCUGGUGUAGCGGUGAAAUGCGCAGAUAUCAGGAGGAACACCGGUGGCGAAGGCGGUUCUCUGGGCCGAUACUGACGCUGAGGAGCGAAAGCGUGGGGAGCGAACAGG
rnacentral:rRNA from 1 species